rnacentral:misc_RNA from 1 species
GUGAUUCUUGUAGUCCUCCCACAAGUGGAUAGAAGAGCAACAAAACUUCUAGUAGGCAAGUAGAAUGGUGACUCCUAGUAAAGAAGCCAGCAAGGCACAUGCUUCUGAAGAAGAGCACAUUGGCGGAGUGGUGACUCCCAGCACAUGUGCUGGCUCUAUCAUGGCCCUUAAAGGCACAUGCUUCGAGUGAAAGUGAGCUUGAUA